rnacentral:misc_RNA from 1 species
GAAUUGCGAUAUGUAAUGUGAAUUGCAGAAUUCAGUGAAUCAUCGAAUCUUUGAACGCACAUUGCACCCUCUGGUAUUCCGGAGGGUAUACCUGUUUGAGUGUCAUUAAUCUCUCAAUCCAGUACAAGUUUUGCACUGAUUGGAUCUUGAAGGCUGCUGGACUAGUUGUCAGCUCCUUUUAAACCCAGGAGCAGAUCUUUCCAACCUCGCUUCAACUUGAUAAAAUCUUGUCUCUGUUGUAGUUGGAGAUUCAUAAAGAUCAGCUGCCCAAUUGUCCAUUCACUUGGACUGUCUCAUUCAAGAGGCAUACUCCUUGACCUUGACCUCAAAUCAGGUAGGACUACCCGCUGAACUUAA